GAUAGCGCACUCGGCCAAAGAUUUCUCGCACUGCAGCUGCUUCCCUCUGUAAAUCAGCCUCUGCUCAAUGACGGGAAUUCCAGUGAUCAGUUGAAUCCGCUCGUGCACCGACUGCACGGUAUCGCUGGAAUUGGCCUGGAAGACCAAGGUCUUGCCCUCCGAGAUCAUCCGCACGAAGAACUGGAGCCUUGAGGCGAAGGCCAGGCGGGCGGACGGCAAGGGGGAGUGCGGCAGGGGCCAGGGCACCCGGCCGGAGCUGGAGCUGCUGGCGUGGGCGAACGCGGGGUGCGGGUGCUGGACCGAGUACAGCUCGUCCUUUCGCAUCCGAAUGCUGAGUAAAUCGGCCGCGAACUCGUCGUCGAAGGCCGUAGGGGCAUAAUCGUCCAACUUUCGCUUCGCGGCGGCGGAGGCGAGGCGGCGGCUGUCGUUCGCGGGGUUGGGAUCGGCGAGCGAAGACAUCAACGGCCCACGCGCCGCCGUGGACGUCGGUCGCCGCGGCGGGGGAAGGAGCUCAACGAGCCGGGGGCGGCGGGGAUCGCCGGGGGGGCCUCUAAAACCCUAGAAUUCCGCUGAUCGGGCGAAGCCGCCGGGGCAGCAGCUAGACAACAGAAACCCAAGAAACGCACCGGGCGGCCGAGCGAGCGGGGGCGGGAGGAGAGAGGAAGGGGUGGAUCGGCGACGGCGACGGCGACGGCGGGGGGGCGGGGGCGGGGGCGGGGGCGGGGGCGGUAGAGAGAGAAGCGAUUUGGUGAGUGUGAAAGAAGAGAGAGAAAGAGAGAGAAAGCCGGCUCUGUGGAAGCAGCAGAGUCAUCAAUGGAGGUAGAGGAGAGAGAAAGAGAGAUUUUAGACUGUCUUCUUACGCUAAGAGGAAAAUCAAAGGCAAAAAAGAAAAAAGAAAACAUAUAUAUAUAUAUAUAUAUAUAUAUAUAUAAGAAGAGGAAGGAAGGAAGGAAGGAAGGGAGGCGGGGGAGGGUUCUGGUGGAGGAGGCCGCACCAACUUUUCAUGAGCCUCCUUUCCCCUUCUUCUUUUUUUUUUUUCAUUUUUUGGCCUUUUUUCGUAAAUGUAAUGAAUAUAUUGCUCCAUUUAUCGAAUGCGCCCAAAAUUCACUUUCAAUUUCCUGCUCGUUUAAUGAAAAAAUGGGUGAUAUUCUACCAUGUGUGGUAGUUGUGCUUAUCCUAAUUGACGAUCUAGUUUUUUUUUUUUUUUUUCCGUUGGUUUUUCUUUGCGAUUGGGAGCCGAUUUUCUAAGAUUAAGGUUUCCGGAUGCCAAAUUGGGCGGAGUUAUGUAGGGUUUGAAAGGCUAGUGGCAAGGCUUAGGAUACAUGGUUUGGAGAGAAAAUUGAUUCAGCUUUUGAGAUUGGAGUCAGAGUUUUCGGAUUAAGAUUUUCACAUACCUAAUUGGGCGGAGUUAUGUGGGGUUUAUGAUGCACAAUUGGAUAUGUUUAUGAUGCACAAUUGGAGAGACAAUUGAUUUGGCUUCCAAAAUUACAUUCGAUAUCGCUGAUAUGCUAUGCUCAAAAUUUAAAUUAAGUAAUUCCUUAUUAUAUAAAUCCACGUCAUCAUAAAUCAGGGUAAUUAUUAUAUUACGUCUUUUGAACGGCUUGAAAAUGUUAAGAAGUUCAAUAAGUAUGAAUCAGUACCACUAGAUAAACUUCUUUUCAAAUUGCAAGAUCUAUUUUUUAGUUUUUUUAUUAUGAUCAAAGGUGAAUUUCAAAUGAAUUAGCCGACCUUUAUGACUAGCUAAAAGGUAAAGCGGCUUCACUUAUAUUAUAGUACACAAUUGGAGAAGAUAAACGAGUAGUAUUCCUCUUAAAGAUUUGUCGUUCUCAAAAUUAAGGUAAGUAAUUUCUCGGCAUAUGCACUUGCAUCGCCAUAACGGGGUUAAUUAUCAUGUUACUAUUUUUAGAUUGUAUUUGUCUAGAUGAAGCUUUUUUUAAAAUUGCCGUACCCCAUCAAUCUUUCUAUAUCCAACCAUCAUAACCUUGUCAAGAAAUUCAAUAUAAUUAAAAGGGUAUCAUAUAUAAUGGGUAAAGUUUUUUUUUUUUUUCAAUUUUGUUAUUUUUAGGCGGGGAAAAGACUUGGGUUGUUUUCAGAUAAUUACUUACGUGCAUAGAAUUACGAAAAAAAAAACAGUGAUAUCUCAAUAAAAUUAAAAGUCAAAGGUUGUUUUUUUUUUUAAAUUUUCUCAAAAAUAAAAAAGAAAAAGCCAAAGGUUGAUGCGGCAAGAACGUACAAAAGUUGGGGAAUACGCACGGUCCCCGGGGGGAGGUCAUCUACAUGAAAUCGUCGCUCUAUAGAAUAUUUCUUGCGGUUUGAAUGUCACAAAGCAUAUCCAUUUCAGCCGGUCCAUAUGAACAUAUAUGGUCCCGUCUCCUUCUCAUCAUUAAAAAAAAAGGUUUAAAUAAAAUAAUUGACAUGUGAACAUCACACCAAAUCAGAACUUGGAAGUUUGCCAUUGUGGAGUGCUAAUCUCAUAAUCGAUUUUAAUUUGGAAUUUGGCACCAAUCGAUCUCCUCAUCAAUUAAAUUAGAUCAUCAUUAUUAUCUGUUAGUGUGUUUAAUUGUUUUAUUUACGCGAAAUUGCAAUUUACAAGGCAUUGGUAGGUUUGUUGUAUUUACAUUCGUAAUUCGACUACAUUGCCAUCCCCAAUUAGUUGACUUAGUUGGGAUAAAUCCUCGUGAAAUGACAUAAUAGUUAGUUGUUUUGCACUUUCUUAUCCUUGUCUCUUCGUGAUAUAAAAUAAAAGUUACACAGAAUUUCAAGUUGACAUGAGUUAAGAUUUUUUUUUUUUUUUUUAUGGUAGACCUUAGAGUCUAGACCAAACCCGCUCAUUUGCCUUUCGGGCAUCUUGGGGUUGGGUGAUCAAGCGCGUCAUUCCGCUCAUGAUCAUCUCAAAUUUUGCUAUUUUACUUUCAAAAUAUUUCAAUUUAUUUUUUUGGUUGUAAAUUUUGUAUAUUUUAGACAAUGAAUCCAUGCCCAAUUCCUAAAUUCUGAUGUUUAUAAAAAUGAAUAAAUGAAAAACUUUUUAUCGUCCAUGGAAAAUGUUUAGAUAUAACUUGUUAUCGAUAAUAAAAAAAAUUUCAUUAACUCAUGAUUUCAAGCAAUAAAAAAUUAUUCAUAGGAAAUUUUUCUCCAAAUUAUUAAUUUACUGCAAAACAAACGUAUUAAGUUUUAAGAUUACAUAAAAGAAUUAGAGAUUCUUCAUGAUUUAGAUCUACCACACGUGCGCAUGCCCAUACGCGCGUAUAUAUAUAUAUAUAUAUAUGUGCGCGCGCGCAUUUAAAGUCAGAACUCGAAAAAUAUUUAUUUCUAUGCUUGCCAUGUAAAAGUUAACUUUGUUUACAUUGUUAUCGCAUGGCAUAAGUUUGCCACAUUGUCUAUUUUGACUAAUUAACAUUCGUUUAUUGAUUUGCCAUUCUCAAAUAUCUACCAGUUAUUAACAAUUAAUGCUUAAAAUUAAGAUGGAUAAAAAUAAAGUACCUUUAAAGAUAGCCCGAAGCUUAUUGGACCGAACAAUAAAUAGAGAAAAUUUAAGAAAAAAAAUCUUGAUAUUAAGGGCUCAACAUUUCUUUCUUUCGACUUACCUCAUUGAUUAUAAAUUUGAAAAAAAAAUAUAAAAUAUCUUUAAAUAUAACAUUUAUCCAUUUGAUGUGAGAUUAAGUCAAAACACGAAAUAUAUUUUGUCAUAUAAUUGAUACUCAUAAUUUUAUUAACUAAGUGAAUAACGUAUUAAAAUUAAAUUAGAAUAAUUUAAAGAACAAAUCAUUUUAUACACUUGGAUAAAUUCCACUGAUGUUCACUCAGUUUUAACAUUACAAUAAAGACUGAGAAUUUUUGUAGAAUUCAGAUUAAUUAUAUGUAGUAAAGCCGGGAGCAGCGAGAACAUUUACUCAUGUACUCGCCGCAUGGAAGAUUACCUUGUCUCUAUGCUUCCCACAUAGAAAGUCACAUGCCACAAUUAUGCCAGAUGGCCUAUAUCCUACCGAUUAGCAUUUGUUUAUUGACUCAUCAUUCUCAAAUUUCUUGCACCUAUUAAUUUAAAAUUGAAAUUUAAAUAAUGAAUAAAAUAUCUUAAAAGGUACUCUUGAACAUAUUUAAGCAAUAGCAUAGUUAAUAGAAAAAAAAAAUCCUGAAAUCAAUUCACAAAGAUUAAUCUCCUUCAAUUUCUUUUUUCGGUCAAAAACAAAUAUUUCAUUCAUAUCUCAGUAUCUUAAAAUGAUACAUAAAAGGUUUAAAACAAAGUAAAUCUCAAACAACAAAGUAGAACAAUAAAGCUAAUAAUACUCUCAUCUCAAAAGAGUAGAUCUCUCUCCGCGUCAAAUUAGAACGAACAUCAGCAAAUUUUCGAAUUUUGCAUUAAUAUAAGUGAUGAGCGCACACCAUAAUCUCCUCUAAUAGCUAUAGCUUUAGCUACAAUUUGAAGAGUGGGUGAUGAAUGCUGAAGUUCAACGUCUUCAAUACCAUCAAUUCCAUCACUACAUGGAGAUACCAAAACAAGUUGAAUAGGUUCUCGAAUCUAUAUCUAAAUUGAGAGAGAUUGAACGAACAUAGAAAUAACUCCCAAAUUUAAAUUUCAAUUGGGAGAGAAGAGCUCUCAAAUGUAGAUUUAAAUUGAGAAACGAGAGUUUCCAAAACUCGAAGAAGUGAUAUUUUUUUUUUGAUCGAAAGAUUCCUCAUUUCAUUUCAAGUAGUAAAAUUAGAGGACCAACCCAAAUGGGCAUCAAAACAAAGAACAUCCAAAAGAGAUUGAGGGGGACGAGAGACCAAAUUCCGAGGUAGAGAUUGCCAAAGUUGGGCUUUGGCAACCCAAUCCGUGGUUUUAUUUAAUUCUUGAUCCAUGGGUCAAUUUUAAUCUAGGAUUAGAACUGAGUGCAGCCCAGCCCGUCUAAACUAUGUGGUUGACUUCUUAAGGAGGAGGAUCUAUCCCCAAAAUCGUAUGAACUGCUAUGGAGCAGUCAAACUCAACAGCUACCCCACGUGACCCUUCUUCCUUCCUCCACUUCGCUGCCAUUUCCAGACAUUCGCAUACAGUUAGGGUUUCAACAUGCAAGGGGGAUUGCGCUUUAACCGAGCAAGCAAAACCACCGAGCAGCAUGCCAUUCUCGUCCCUGCACACCCCUGCUACAGAUCCGUCGUUAGUCCUUGGUGCGAAGGCUUCGUUGACGUUAAUUUUCACCCAUCCUGGGUCCAGCGAUCUCCAUCUUGCAGGUUCUACAUUACUUCUUCUGGUAUUUUACUGCUGUGAUGAAGCUUGAUCUAUUAAUUUUUGUUGUGAUGUGAGCAGAUCAGCCAUUACACCUUGCGGAUCUGGCUUCCUUGCUUGGAAAACUACUACAUUCCUCUGUUUCCAGAUGAGCCAGAGAGCUUCGGCUAUUGGGGAGCGUGAGACAGGUGGCUUUCAUACUCCAUAAACCAGCAAUCUAUACUCCUUAAUCCUGUGCUUUGUAUUUGAAUAUGGAGAAUGCAAUUUGACCAUAUUUCACAGGUCCAAGGGUAGAGUAAGAACAAAUGUUCUAUUGAUUUGGGGGACACUUUGCAUAGGGGACACCACAACUCGGGUAAGACUCUUCUUUUAGCUAGAUUCUAGAGGGAGGGCAUUUUGACAUAAGUUCCACAUAAACACUCUAACUUUGGGGAGGGUGCGUAGACUCCAUAUUUUGCUCCACAGUUCUUUGGGUUUUUGACAUGAAGAUCAGGGUGAUGUGUGGGCCAAGUGGCCUUCUAAACUUCUGAGUUGAUUAUACCCACUUUUUACUGAGUAAUUGCCUGAUUUGGUCGCCAUCCAAAUGCAUUUAUCUACCCUUCUGUCAGAUGGUAAGGGGAUGGCCAAAAUUUCGCUUACAAUUUUCUCUUCGAACAAGUUUUGAAGGUGUUCUUCAUUCCAUGUUGAAUUGUUUGUAUCUAUGAGUUCGGCUACCAUCAGGGGAUCGUCUCAGUUGGCUGGGCCAGGGAUUGUGCCUCGCUUUAACCUUCUGUCUUCACGUAUUUCAAUUGAUGCUCCAUUACCUAUUGCCCAUAGUGUUGAGCCUGAAAUAGAAUUUCUACCACUUAGUAGCCUGUCUUAGCAUGAUAGAAAUCUGUAGAGGGGAAAUAGAGUCCCUUGAAUAGUUUACUCCAUAAAGACGAGGGGUUUUCUAUCAAUCGCCAAGCCUGUCUUCCUAGCAUUGCUUUAUUGAAUGUGAUUAGAUCUCUAAAACCCAUUCCUCCCUGGUCCUUCCUCAUCUUCAGCACAUUCCAGCUUUUCCAAUGAAUUCCAACCUUAGAUUCAGCGUUCUUCCACCAAAAUGAAGCAAUUUUUUUCUCUAUAACUUUACAAAUGGAGACUGGAAUCUUAAAGAUGGACAUCGCGUAUUGGGGUAAUGCUUGGACAACUACUUUCAAUAGAACUUCUUUCCCAACUUUGGAUAUCAACUUUUCCUUCCAUCCUUCUAGCUUCAUAUUCACUCUAACCAAUAUCCAAGCGAACAAUUGUUUUUUAGAUGUUUCCCAAUCCGGCGGAAUGCCUAGAUAUUUCCCUGUUUUAUCAAUUUCCGGUGCUCUCAAUUCCCAUGUCAUGUUUCUCCUUAAAGUCUAAGGACAACCUAAACUAAAAAAUAUCCCGAGCUUGUUCAAAUUGAUUGCUUGACCAGUAGCUAUGUAGUAUUGGUUAAGAACAUCAGCCAAAUUUUGGCAUUCCUUCACCUUUCCAUCCAAAAAGAAUAUCGAGUCAUCCGCAAAUAAGAGAUGAGAUAAAGUUGGGCAAUUGCUGUUUAGUUUUAUGCCUUUCACUCUCCCUUCCCCAACUGCUUUUUUCAUAAGAAGAGAUAAAACAUUUGCUACUAGAAUAAAGAGAUAAGGGGAAAGGGGAUCACUUUGACGAAGUCCCCUUGAUGGCUGAAAAUAAGGUAACGAUUCUCCGUUAAACUUGAUACUAAAAGAGACUGAAGUCACACAAUGCAUAAUCCAUGAGAUCCACUUCUAACAAAACCCCAUCUUCAACAUACAAGCCUUCAAAAAGUCCCAUUCAAUUCUAUCAUAUGCCUUCUUCAUAUCAAGCUUUAACACAGCUUGAAAUUUCUUCUUUCUUUUCCUUAUUCUUAGCUGGUGAAGCACCUCCUAAAUAAUAAGAAUGUUAUCCUGGAUUUGUCGCCCUUUAACAAAUGCACUCUGUUCCUUUUGAUCAAUUUUGGAAGAAGGGGCUUUAAGCGAUUUGCCAAAACCUUAGAGAUGAUUUUAUAAGUAAAAUUGCACAGGCUAAUUGGUCCAUACUGAUCAAGCGUUUUCGGGUUUGAGACCUUUGGAAUGAGGACAAUUUGGGUUCUAUUAAAGUCUGGGUUGAACUAAUUUGUCUCCAUAAAAUCCCCUACCAACCUCAAUAGAUCCUUUUGGAUGUCUAUCCAAUGAUGGCGGAAAAACUGACCAUUUAAACCAACCAGCCCUGGAGCCUUGAUGACUCCUAAUUGAAAGACAGCAUCCUUUACCUCCUAUAGUGUAACUUUUUCUAUCAAUGCUUCAUCCAUCUCCUCUUGGAACCAACCGUGCUGUAUAAAUCAUAAAAGAAUUGAACUGUUGCCUCUUUUAAUUUCCUGGGGUCUCUACACCACUCACCAUUUGGCAGCUGGAGCAUGGAGAUUUUAUUUCUUUGUCGACGUUGUAUUGUGGUGGCAUGAAAGUUUUUUGUGUUUCUAUCGCCCCACUUCAACCACAUGAUCCUCAAACACAUUCCCCAAUACAUUUCUUCUCGUUUCCACAGUUGUUCAAUUUCUCAUUUGAUGCUUUGGACUCUUCCCCUUUCAUGAUCAGCCUCUUGAUUGUUUGUGAUGGAUACUAAUUCAGCUUUGAGAAUUUUGAUUUGUUUGUAGGCAUUUAAGAAUUUUUUACUCCAUUCUAGAAGGGUUCUUGUAACCUUUUGUUGUUUUUGUUCCCAACUCAGGUUUUAUGCACUGGAUGCUGCCAAAGCUGAUUUAAUGAUGUCCUCAUAUUCUCUGUCUUCUGCCCAAAAAGCUUCGUAUUUGAAUUCCUUUCUUCGUCUCACCCUUUCAGCUGAUAACGACACCAACGGGGGUUGUGAUCAGAUCCUACUGCAAGAAAAGUGAAAGCUUCAACCUUAGGAUAAGAAACCCUCCAUUCCAUGUUGCAUAAUGCUCGGUCAAGUCGUUCUUUGAUGUAAUCCUCUCAUUCCCAAUUGUUCGACCAUGUAAAUGCACAACAUUUUCCCUCCAAAUCCAUCAAUGAACAAUCAUUUAGAACUUCUCGGAAUGCCAGCAUCCAAUAAUGUUCCAACAUUCUUUUUCCAACUUUCUCCCAAUGGUAGAGAACUUCAUUAAAGUCACAUACACACAUCCGAGGAAGAGAGUUAUAAGACCUGAUAUGUCUUAAUUCAUCCCAUAACCUCAUUCUCUUCUGAAAAGUAUAUGGGGCAUGGAUUAGUGUAAGUCUCAAUUGUUUUGUUUGUCUCCCAUCUGCAGGUAGCAUUAAUAAAAUCAGCAGCAAAAGAAUCGAUUAUUAAUGUUAUGUCUUCAUUCCACAUUAGCGCAAGCCCCCAACAAUACCUUCUGGAUUCACAACAAAAAGAAAUUGGUAAUAAAACAUUUUCUUUAUCCUUUGCACCAUUGGUUCUUUUUUUUGUUUUCAUCAAGAAGAUUACAUUAGGCCUUUCACCAGCCACUAGGGCUCUAAGUUCUUGAAUUGUCAGGGGAUUGUCUAACCCCGACAAUUCCAACUUAAGAUUUUCAUUGGUACCCUAGUGACUUAUUAAGACUAGCCACCAAAGCCCAUUAACCCUCACCUUUCACCACUUAGACGAGAGUUUCUAACAGCCGAGUUUCAUCAAUUAAUAAUUGCAUAUCCUUUUCUGGAGCAUAAAGGUUUAAUCUCUUUUGCUUUUUAGCACUUAGUUUAACCCUUUUUUCCUUCUACUUUUUGGGUUGUUUCUGUAGAUUUUCUUCCUAUGUGGGAUAUAGGAGCUUUCCCCUUAUCGGGCCAUGUUAGUAGCAAGAAAGGAGGAUUAACCCUUACCUCAUUGCCACCUAAACUCUCGCUGUCCAUUUCCUUUCUCUUCUCAGCUCUGUCUGAAUGACUAGGUUGGGGGUAUGCUAGUUGGAUGAUCUCCAUUUUGUUCGAGAGGUUUUGAGUUUCAGGUAUGACUUCCUCUGCUGCCCUGUCUUCCCAUUUAUCUUCAUAAAAUAGCUUCCAAAUAGGACUAAACUCCCUAGCUUCUGCUUUCAACCAGAAUCCAAACCUUAGGUUCUCCAUUUUGUCUUCAUCAAUCGGAAUUUCAGUGCAAUGGGUGGUAAAAUGACCCAGUUUGCCACAUGCAAAGCAGAAAUGGGGUAAUCUCUCAUAUUUCUACUCUACCAAAAAAAAAAUUCCAGCAUGUUAGAUUACACUCCCCUGUUUCAAAGGGGCAUACAAAUCGAGCUCCACUUUCACUCUCUCCAAAGCAAAUGCCAUGGAGCCUUUUGUUUAUGUUCUGAUUUCUAUAACAUUUCCUAACUCCAUGGCUAUCUUUCUUAUAGCUAUCUCAUUACGCCAUUCAAUAGGUAAACCAUAGAUAUGCACUUAGAAAACUCCUCUCGUGAAAUCGUAGCAACAAGGAGGUGUGUUAGGUUCCCAUGAUUUCAACAAGAGAAUGUGAUUGGCAAAAGACCAAGAACCCCCAUCCAGCACUCGUUUAAUAUCCGUAGCAAAUUUGAAAGCAAACAUAAAGUGACCUUGUUCCAACAGAGUGAUACUGACAUUAUCUAUUUUCCAUGCCUUUUUCAUUGUACUUUGAAAAGCUUGAAAAUUAAUAGAGGGGCUUGUGAAUAGCUUACUGAUCAACAUCAGUUUACAAUCCUUUUCUUGUUCAAUGGCAUCCAUUUCUUCUGGAUCAAUAAUGUCAUUUUCUGACCACAUAUCUCCUAAUUUCUCGCAUAUCAACUACAGUCGGGGAUCAGCUUUUCUAUUCUCCAUUUCCGAACUUCAGUUUUCAGUUAGGCAAAUCAACAAACAGGUGGAAGAUUCAGUUGCAAAUAGCCACCAAAACCAGCCCAGAACAAUGCUCGAGAUUGAAGAUCCUUACGCGUUGCUUCUAUACCAAAAGACUCGGCAAAAAGAUUAAGAUACGAAGGACUACAAAGAUUCGGAAACUACUUGGUACUCAGUGGCAAAAUGAGAGAAAAUAAGAUGAAAGGAGACUAUGGGGAUUCCAAGCGGGUAGGGUAAGGUUGGUUGAAGAUGUGGGAGCUUGGCAAUGGAACAGUAGUUGUGUAGAUACCUUCCAUCAUAGAGAUAGUUGUUUAGUUCUAAAAGUGAAAAGGGGUUUCGUUGAGGAAGAUGAUUUUAGGGUUUAAAGAGUGAGCGUGCAAAGAGGUAUAUGUAAGGAGUGGGAGUUGGGGAUGGUGAGGAGAUUAGCUAGGGUUUUUGGAGAAGAAGAUGAUAGGUAUUAAAGAGGGGAAAGACAUGGCUACACCAAAGGUAAAGAAGCUCUCCAUGCAAGAGAGAAAAUUUUCAAAACGGGAGGAUAACCGCUUCAAAUGCUAUAUAAAUGAGACGCCUCAUAAGGUCACGCGUGGCACAUGUCCUUUUUCAAUUUUCUCUUUUAAAUAUUAAUAGCAUGCGGAAGUAUAACAAAAUUUUCACCACAUCUCUUAAAAAAAAAAAUCACACGAGUUUAAUAAAUGUACAUAUGCUUCUUCCUUAUAUUAACACCACUAGUUACCAUUUUCACAUAUUAUUCAAACAAAUACAUUACAUUACAUAAGUCUUAAGAAAAGGGUUGAGUCAAAUAGCACCUCUAAAACCAAACUAACCCAAAGGCAAGCAUAUACAUUAACCAAACCGCCAUUCAACUCAAGGGUUGAUGGCCUUUGAUCCCCUCAUCUUCAUGUCCUGGGGGACUAACCUACAAAUCAGAAAAAUAAGGAUGAGCUAAAGCCUAGUGAAUGAAAUCUUUAAGUCUAAGGUGAGAGAGUAUCUUACCAUUUAACCUAAUACCAACAAACAAUGUGAAUUCAAGGCAAUGCAAGAUAACAAUGAAUGACAAGUGCAUUAAUAAAUGCAUUAUUUUUCUUAUCUUAAUAUUGCAUCAGAUAAUUUACCCAAAUACAGGUGAAUGUUAUAACAAAUUGUGAUGCGUGUUUAUCACCGAUUGGCUCAUUAAUAGGCAUGUUUGAGCAUAUGCAUUUAUACAUACACAUAGACAUGCAUCAUAUUCAUUACUUCUUCUCUUCCCAAGCACACUUGGGGCAUCCUAACUCAAGGUGUACCUCAAAUUCAAGACAUCCCGAACACUCCUAGGGCCUGGGGCAUCUUAACACAUGAGGCAUCAUCACCAUUAAUUUAAACACAUAUUAUGUUUUUCCAUAUUUAUUCAUAUGGUACAAAUGCACAUAUUAAUAUUGUAGUCAUAAAAUCUUUCUUACAUCAACAAUGGAUUCAACAAUCGACGUUCGAUACACAACAUCCUUUUAUGCAAAUCAUUACCUUGCCUUUUUAAUGAUGACCUACAUGAGUAAUAAUGAUGACAUGUUUACCUCAUUUCAUUUUUCAUCAUGUCUUUUGAUAACCACAUGAUAAUAAUAUGCCUACCUCCUUUUCAUUUCUCAUGAAAACAAGGACAAAUAAGUAAUUAUAUGCAUUUCAACACAUAUACCCAAAUUCUUUUCUUAUCAUGUAAUGAUCGAUGAAAUAAAAGGCUUUAGUUAAGCAACCGGGUCAAAAAUAGUAAAAUGUCAUAAUCAACAAGUGGGUAUAGUCCACAAGUGGAUAUACUUGGUAAGUGAAUAUAAGCAGUAGUCAUACUCGACGAGCAGAUAAGCAGUACGUGGUUAUAUUCGACAAGUGAAUAUAAACAGUAAAUGGUCAUACUCGAUUAAUGAAUAUAAGCAGUAUGUGGUUAUAUUCAACAAAUGGAAACGCAUUAGUCUCUCACAACACAAUAAUCUUUAUUUCUUCCUUUCUCUUUAGGUGAAAAUAAUUACAGAGAGGAAUAUAUGGCGUGGAGUUUACCUAUGAGCCAUGGCAAUUUUAACAUCAAGCUAACAAUAGUUUAUGGUUAUGUCAGCUAAAGGAGUGGGAAAUUUUAACAGGAGGACUAUAUUGAGUAGAUUUUUAAAAGUAUUGAGAAUUAGAUUGUACAAAAAGAAAUGUUUAGAUACUACUUUGAAUUUUGAAAAAAAAGAGAGUUAAAGGACAAACCAGAUAACAUGCAAACAAACUACUAUAUGCAGAGAGUUAACAAAUUAAAUAAUAAAUUCCACAAACACAGGCACAUACCUUCCAAAACCAGACUAUCUGAGGAUCGUUAGCUUUGUAGCCAUUGACUCAGUAUAUGUCUUCUAAUCUUCAAUAGAAAUAUCAUUCUCACUCCCGUGUAGCAUUUGAUCAAUAUCUUCAAGCUCCAAACUUUGAAAAAAUAACUUCUGCAACCUCAAGUCGCUAAGAAUAUCACCAAAACCUUGUGCAAAAUGCGAUACCUGUUGAGAGAUUGAGGUAACAAACCGAUGUUUUAUAAGAAGAUCAACAUAAUCAUUCCUAUUCUUGCUAUUCACCACCAUGCCCUUCCCACCAUCACAGAGUUCCACAACUCUCCUCAAUCCCAACUCCUCAACUUCUCUGACAAAUGUUAUAGUCCUAAAGCAUCAGAAUCAAUAAAUUCAGCAUCCAUUUCCAGAAUCUGCUUGCAGCGAUUAUACAUGUAAGGAUCCGCAUCUCUUAUGUCUUCCAGAGAAAUAGAAUAUCCACCCAAUUGCAAGAAAAAUACCCGAUCCAAAAAAAUCCCUACUUGUACUCUAUGCAUCAGAGCUAAGCCUAUCAUUCGACCAGAGAAGUUGAAAUACUUGAGGUGCAGGGGUGCCACCGUAGACGCUGCAUACCAUUCAAACAACAGAACUCAGGUAAUCAUCAUGACCAAUGUCAAAUAGAGGAUUUAUAUGUAGAGACAGAGGACAAGAUGAAAUAAAUCAUCUUAAAUGUUCAAAUUGCAAAACACUCAAGUGUUGAUUGUCAAUACUGAUAAGGCAUUUAGAACAAAGGUAACGGAACUGUAAUAACAGAAGGGCAAGGUGACCACACAAGUAGAUCUCAAAAGUUUUUUUUUUUUUUUUAAUAUUUAAAUAACUAUCAACAGCCCAGCAAUCCCCCCAAGAAACUUUUUAUGUACCCAUAGCUCCAUGUAGGCACAAAUUAUCAAAAAAAAAAAAAAAAAAUUCCCCAAAGAGAUGAAGAAUAACAAACUACAAGAACCAAGGCUAAAAGAGAGAUUUACAUAAGAAAAAAUGAGAUGAAAAUACACUUUCACUCCUAAAAAGUUGUGUGCAUUGCACAUGUUAACUGAAAUCAUAAUGGAGAAUUAAUGGCUGUCACAAAAUGAAAUUUAGGAGAGUAAUAUGUUGCAGUUGAAAGUUAAGGGGCAAACGUGUACGACCUAAAGUUGAAGGGGUUUUGCAUUUUCCUCUUACUUGUAUGAGAUUUGAAUACUCUACAUCUAGCAUGCAAUUUUGUUAAGACUUCAAGGUCAUUCAACCGAAUUCCAAGUAAACAACCCCGAAUUCCUAAUGGGCAAAAAUAGUAGCAAAACUUAACUCUACCCACUGGAACAAUCUUGCGUUUGUAAGGUCGACUCUCCAACUCACACAACCCCCCAAUUACUUCAAUCAAUCUUUAUCUCUGUACAGCAAUAAAACCACCUAUUAAGCUUUAACUGACAACAUGCAGCCAUAUCAUCCAUACUAUGACGUUUCACUCCACUGUGUAUCUAGUUCUCCGAGACUAUCUUUGUCACAGAGAAUAAUUGUGUGGUCUGCAAAGAGAAGGGGUUCAACAUGCCAAAUAACCAGGUUGCCUAAAAACCCAUCCUUCCAAAACCAAAUCGAAAAUUUUUAGUUAAACCAUGGCCUUUUUCAGACCAAAUUCAUUUGAUCCAGUCCAACAGAUUGGUUUCAGGUCAAAAAGUGUUAAAUAAACGAAGAUCAAAACUUGACUGAUUGACCCAUUUGGUUUGACUUUUUUUAACUAUCUUUACCAUUUGUCCUUUAGCAAAGUAGUCUCUAAAAUUUUACUCAUUAUCUACUUGGCAGGAUUGACUUCCCACUUCCCAUUCCUCAAAAACCCCAAUAUCGUGAUCUACCAUCACCUUCGGAAGGUUUAGCCUUUCUCUUCUUCCUACAAGAAAAGACUUUCAAACCCAUCUAUCAUCAUCUUUGAAAUAUUAGCCACCAUAGCUCAUUCAUAGUUAGUACUCAUCCAGUGACACAACCUCUCUCUCUCUCUCUCUCUUCGCACGAGAGCACGCUGGCAGUUGCAGAAGCAAGAAAAACAAGAGACAGAAAUAUCAAAUGAGCAAUAGUAGGAAGGCAAAGAAAAUGGGUUAAACCUAUGUAUUGAACCUAACUGACUGGGUAUUUGGGCAGUUCAUCUAUACUUUGUACUGUUUGUUCAACUUUUCCAUCCAAAACUCUUGGUUCUGAUUCUGUUUUGGUGGAAACAAACAGGAAUGUUAAAGCUACCAACCCACUCAUAUUCACUCUACAUACUAGAGCUAUAAGUGCUAAUUAUAUGUCAAACUCCAUUCAAUAUACAGAAAUGAUAAGCACUCCAUCAUUUACUUUUUUUGGUUUCACAAAACCUAAGGACAACAACCAGCAUUCUUAAACAAAAUCACACACAUGGCCAUGCAAUAUUACCUGGAUUUGGGUAGAACCUUCUGCGAUCAUUGGGACAUGCUACAAAAAGAGGAUUUUGUUGAUUGAAAAUAGCUUGGCAAACCAGAACAAACCACUUGCGCAAACACCAGGACCAGUUGCUUCCUCAUUUUUAAAUUCCAUAAAUAUACCCCCAUGCAAAGAUUCAGCUUCUGCAUUAGCUAUAUACUCGAAUGAUUCUGACAAUAACUGAGACCUGUCGAUCAGCAUCUCAUGUUGUUCCUCAAAGUCCUCUUUCACUUCAGGGAACAUCAUCAUCACUAAGUGCCUCCUAGACUCAAAAUCCAUAAUAUCUUUGUGUUCAAGAAGCCAUCUGUGAUCAUCAUUUCGCUUCGCAUAAUGGACAACAAGCAUACACAAUGCACGCUUCCUCAUGCUCAAAAUCGUCCAAAAUUCUUCCUCAGAACCCAAAUAAAGUUUAGAAAUGGCAUUCAGUUCUUUCAAAAUAGUAAGAUAUCGAGACCACGCUGGAUGUGCAAUUUCAAUUUCCCCACUUACCUUUGCAGAUAACCGCUGCUCCAUUCUGGAAAGGCACUUAUCCAUCUUCUUUAGCAUGUCCACAAAGAUAUGAUAAAGCGAUUCGACCUCUUCCUUACACAAGAGAACAUCGUGGUGUUCGUUUUCCAUAGGCAAAGAGAUUGGAUGCUCGAAACCCUUGUAUCCAGACAUUACAGUUCGCAAAGGGCGCAAGAACAUCGUGAAAUCAUUGACAUCGCUCCAACUCCCCACACUCGCUGCUGAUAUGAGGGACACUUCCAUAUCUUUGGACAACUUACCUGCCAGCUCUUUAACGAAAGGGAAUAUCUCUUUUAUAGAUAUCGCUCUCUUUACACUUUCCGUAUGUUCCGAUACCCAUUGAACCUUAAUAACCUCCAUCAUCGGCCCCAGACUACUCCAGCAAGACAAGUACAAGGGGUCAUGAGAAGCUAUUCUCCUGAGCAACUUACAAAACUCCAGCACUAUGGGUGCACAGCGCGAUCGCAAAGACUUUGGUAACUCAAUUAUACAUAAUUCUAGGAAAUGCCUAAUUGACUCCUCGGCAUGCUCCUUGUUACCCCUAAUUGGCGACAUGUAGAGCAUAACAAGCGCCGCAGGCGCAGAGGAUGACAUAAAUAUCUGAAGAUGCCCAGUAGCUGCAUCGCCAUCAUCCUUAGGAGUCAUCGACAAGUACUCCGAUAUCCUAGUUCUAAUAGUUUUAAGAGCAUAGGGCACGGUUUCACCUUUACAAAGGCGGAAAACAAGAUAAAUCAUGUCGUCGAUGAUUUGCCAAGCCUGCGAGUGCCCCGUGCUCUGCAUUCGGCCGACUAAAUGCAGGCCGGCAUCAUUUUGGAUAGCACACUCGGCCAAAGAUUUCUCGCACUGCAGUUGCUUCCCUUUAUAAAUCAGCCUCUGCUCAAUGACGGGAAUUCCAGUGAUCAGUUGAAUCCGCUCGUGCACCGACCGCACGGUAUCGCUGGAAUUGGCCUGGAAGACCAAGGACUUGCCAUCGGAGAUCAUCCUCACGAAGAACUGGAGCCGCGAGGCGAAGGCCAUCCUGACGGUAUCGCCGGAAUUCGCGGCGGCCGUCGUUCGCGGGGGAGGAGCUCACGCGCCGGACGUCGGUCGCCGCGGCGGGGGAAGG
rnacentral:lncRNA from 1 species